AACCUAGCACACCUGCGGUGUGUACCUGCGGAGGGAUCAUUACAAGUGACCCCGGUCUAACCACCGGGAUGUUCAUAACCCUUUGUUGUCCGACUCUGUUGCCUCCGGGGCGACCCUGCCUUCGGGCGGGGGCUCCGGGUGGACACUUCAAACUCUUGCGUAACUUUGCAGUCUGAGUAAACUUAAUUAAUAAAUUAAAACUUUUAGCAAUGGAUCU
rnacentral:misc_RNA from 1 species